CCAAUCCUAUUUGGAGUCAAAAAGGUGUCAAAAUUCGCCCAAAACGCGUCCAGGCCGCACCAAACCCUUCCCCCAGCGCCCCAGCGCUGGGCAACGGCGCUGGAGUCUGCCCCCUAGCGCCCCGGCGCUGGAAAAUGCACUAAGAGUAGCGCCCCGGCGCUGGCCCAAAAUCCGACAUUUUCUGCUCCGACGUCCUUUGGGAAAAUGGCCAUAACUUCUUCGUCCGAACUCCGAUUUUGAUGAUUCAAGAUGUUCCGGAAAGAGGAGAAGUAGAUCUACAACUUUCAUUCUUUGAGUUUUUCGAAAUAAUGUCAGGAGAUAUAGUCAAAUUGGCUCUGAAGUGACUGCUAUGUAAAUGGCAAGCCGAAAACGCGAAUCUAGCCACCCCAAACAUCGAUCCAUGUAACUUUUGUCCCAAUUCCUAUAAAAUAACAUAAAACAUGCAUGAAUAGACACAAACACAAAAAA
rnacentral:lncRNA from 1 species